GACGAACGCUGGCGGCGCGCUUAACACAUGCAAGUCGAACGGAAAGACCUGCUUUCCCUUGUGGAUUGCGGGUACUCGAGUGGCGAACGGGUGAGUAACACGUGAGUGAUCUGCCCCCAACUUGGGUAUAAGCCUGGGAAACUGGGUCUAAUUCCCGAUAGGACUGCAGGGUGGUGCCUGUGGUGGAAAACGAUUUUCUAGUGGUUGGGGAUGAGCUCGCGGCCUAUCAGCUUGUUGGUGGGGUAAUGGCCUACCAAGGCGGCGACGGGUAGCCGGCCUGAGAGGGUGGACGGCCACAUUGGGACUGAGAUACGGCCCAGACUCCUACGGGAGGCAGCAGUGGGGAAUAUUACACAAUGGGCGGAAGCCUGAUGCAGCGACGCCGCGUGGGGGAUGACGGCCUUCGGGUUGUAAACUCCUUUCGACCGCGAGGAAGCCACCUGGUUGGAAGGGUGGUGACGGUAGUGGUAGAAGAAGCACCGGCUAACUACGUG
rnacentral:rRNA from 1 species